rnacentral:lncRNA from 1 species
CGAGCCCCGUCAGCCUUUGCCGAGGGCCUCCCGUCAGGCCCUCGACAAAGGUUUUUAAUUUGUUUUCAAAAUUCUUUGCCGAGGGCCUUCCCUGUAGCCCUCGGCAAAGACCCCCUUUGCUGAGGGCCAUCCUUAGCCCUCGGCAAAGAUUUUUUUUUUGAUUUUUGAGUCCAAUUUUUUUGUGGGCACAAAUCACAUUAUUUUAAACACAAUUUUAAAAAUUGGCACAAUUUUUACUUUUUUUAUAUAUUUCUUGAAUUUUUUUUCAAUUUGUCGGAAUUUUCCCGCUGUUUUAAAUUUGAACUGUAGAUGCAUGGAAUAAUUCACUGUAGUCUUUCCAAAAAUGUUAUUCAUGUUAUUUGAUGUGUGUGGAGUCCCUACGCAUAAACUGCAAUCAAAUUUCACGCAUCUUUUACGCGUGACAUGAUUAGUCACUUCUUAGAAAAUUGAUUUAAAAUUAUAUUAAAUGUAUACGAAGUCAGAAAAUCACGAAACUUGACGAGGUUUCAUAUUGAGACAUGUGUAGGCUAUAAUAAAAAAUUCAAUCGUUUUCGAGUAAGUUGCGACGUCAUAUGUCUAAAACCCAGACAUCUCCACAUGUGAUCACUAACCGCGGCACUAACCGCACAGCUAGAGGCACAGAAGGCCGCGUUCGAGGGAGCGCAGAAGCAGAUGGCGGAGAUGAUGGUGAUCAUGCAAAGUCUUGGGUAAGCAUUGGGUGUACCUGUGCUGUUUUCAGCUCCUCCUCCUACUCCUACAGCUACUUAUAAAAGUCCGCUUUUCACUUGUCUUUGCAUGUAUGUUGGCCUUCGUGCCGUUGUGGAUGUCGGCGUUCAUGCCGUUGUGGAUGUCGGCCUUCGUGCCGUUGUUUUUGCAGGUU